UACGUAGGGUGCGAGCGUUAAUCGGAAUUACUGGGCGUAAAGUGUGCGCAGGCGGCCGCGCAAGUCGAGUGUGAAAGCCCCGAGCUUAACUUGGGAACUGCGCUCGAAACUACGUGGCUGGAGUGCGGCAGAGGAAGGUGGAAUUCCAGGUGUAGCGGUGAAAUGCGUAGAGAUCUGGAGGAACACCGAUGGCGAAGGCAGCCUUCUGGGCCAACACUGACGCUCAUGCACGAAAGCGUGGGGAGCAAACAGG
rnacentral:rRNA from 1 species